UACGUAGGCAGCGAGCGUUGUUCGGAGUUACUGGGCGUAAAGGGUGUGUAGGCGGUUGUUUUAAGUUUGGUGUGAAAUCUCCCGGCUCAACUGGGAGGGUGCGCCGAAUACUGAGCGACUAGAGUGGCGGGAGAGGAAAGUGGAAUUCCUGGUGUAGCGGUGAAAUGCGUAGAUAUCAGGAGGAACACCGGUGGUGUAGACGGCUUUCUGGACCGUAACUGACGCUGAGACACGAAAGCGUGGGUAGCAAACAGG
rnacentral:rRNA from 1 species